AUGGUCUAGUGGUUAGGACAUUGGACUCUGAAUCCAGUAACCCAAGUUUAGAUCUCUUGU
rnacentral:tRNA from 1 species